UACGAAGGACCCGAGCGUUAUCCGGAUUUAUUGGGCUUAAAGGGUGCGUAGGCGGAUUUACAAGUCAGUGGUGAAAUCUCCCAGCUUAACUGGGAAACUGCCAUUGAAACUGUUUAUCUUGAGUACAUUUGAGGCGGGCGGAAUGUGUCAUGUAGAGGUGAAAUUCUUAGAUAUGACACAGAACACCAAUUGCGAAGGCAGCUCGCUAAACUGUAACUGACGCUGAGGCACGAAAGCGUGGGGAUCAAACAGG
rnacentral:rRNA from 1 species